GAUGAACGCUGGCGGCGUACCUAAUACAUGCAAGUCGAGCGAACGGACGAGAAGCUUGCUUCUCUGAUGUUAGCGGCGGACGGGUGAGUAACACGUGGAUAACCUACCUAUAAGACUGGGAUAACUUCGGGAAACCGGAGCUAAUACCGGAUAAUAGUUUGAACCGCAUGGUUCAAAAGUGAAAGACGGUCUUGCUGUCACUUAUAGAUGGAUCCGCGCUGCAUUAGCUAGUUGGUAAGGUAACGGCUUACCAAGGCAACGAUGCAUAGCCGACCUGAGAGGGUGAUCGGCCACACUGGAACUGAGACACGGUCCAGACUCCUACGGGAGGCAGCCGUAGGGAAUCUUCCGCCAUGGGCGAAAGCCUGACGGAGCAACGCCGCGUGAGUGAUGAAGGUCUUCGGAUCGUAAAACUCUGUUAUUAGGGAAGAACAUAUGUGUAAGUAACUGUGCACAUCUUGACGGUACCUAAUCAGAAAGCCACGGCUAACUACGUG
rnacentral:rRNA from 1 species